rnacentral:rRNA from 1 species
CCUAAUACAUGCAAGUCGAGCGGAUCUUCAUUAGCUUGCUUUUGAAGAUCAGCGGCGGACGGGUGAGUAACACGUGGGCAACCUGCCUGUAAGACUGGGAUAACUUCGGGAAACCGGAGCUAAUACCGGAUAAUCCUUUCCCUCACAUGAGGGGAAGCUGAAAGACGGCUUCUCGCUGUCACUUACAGAUGGGCCCGCGGCGCAUUAGCUAGUUGGUGAGGUAACGGCUCACCAAGGCAACGAUGCGUAGCCGACCUGAGAGGGUGAUCGGCCACACUGGGACUGAGACACGGCCCAGACUCCUACGGGAGGCAGCAGUAGGGAAUCUUCCGCAAUGGACGAAAGUCUGACGGAGCAACGCCGCGUGAACGAUGAAGGCUUUCGGGUCGUAAAGUUCUGUUGUCAGGGAAGAACAAGUACCGGAGUAACUGCCGGUACCUUGACGGUACGUGACCAGAAAGCCACGGCUAACUACGUGCCAGCAGCCGCGGUAGUACGUAGGUGGCAAGCGUUGUCCGGAAUUAUUGGGCGUAAAGCGCGCGCAGGCGGUUCCUUAAGUCUGAUGUGAAAGCCCCCGGCUCAACCGGGGAGGGUCAUUGGAAACUGGGGGAACUUGAGUGCAGAAGAGGAGAGC